rnacentral:rRNA from 1 species
GAUGAACGCUGGCGGCGUGCCUAAUACAUGCAAGUCGAACGCUUUGUCUUUAAUUGAUCUGACGAGCUUGCUCUGAUGUGAUUUUAUCUGACAAAGAGUGGCGAACGGGUGAGUAACACGUGGGCAACCUACCUCUUAGCAGGGGAUAACAUUUGGAAACAAGUGCUAAUACCGUAUAAUAUUAACAACCGCAUGGUUGUUAAUUGAAAGGUGGUUCUGCUAUCACUAAGAGAUGGACCCGCGGUGCAUUAGCUAGUUGGUAAGGUAAUGGCUUACCAAGGCGAUGAUGCGUAGCCGAGUUGAGAGACUGAUCGGCCACAAUGGGACUGAGACACGGCCCAUACUCCUACGGGAGGCAGCAGUAGGGAAUCUUCCACAAUGGGCGCAAGCCUGAUGGAGCAACGCCGCGUGUGUGAUGAAGGGUUUCGGCUCGUAAAACACUGUUAUAAGAGAAGAACGACAUUGAGAGUAACUGUUCAGUGUGUGACGGUAUCUUAUCAGAAAGGAACGGCUAAAUACGUG